ACGGCCAGAUUAUGUUAAAACAUUGGUUUCCGUACGAUCCCUGAAGUUAAGCAACGUCGAGCCUGAUCAGUACCUAGAUAGGUGACCGAUUGGGAAAUGUGCGGUGGUGU